GCUUCCUUAGCGUAGUUGGUUUAUCGCAUCCGUCUAAUAAAGACAUGCCUGACGAACAGUCAGAUCACAUAUCCAUACAACGGAAGGUCACUAGUUCGAGCCUAGUAGGGAGCA